ACUGUUCUAAGUGCUUCACAGUUAUUAACUCUCUUAAUUCUCCUAGCAACCCUGUGACAUAUAUGGUACCCCACUAUUAUCACACUGUUUUAUAACCACUGGCAUUUUUGUUAUCUUCUCCAUUCUACUAGAGGGUCUGGAUGGUGUUAUAUUCAUCUAUGAGCCCAGCAAAGUGCCUGACACAUAUCCUAGGAUUGUUGGAUGCUAAUUUGAGAGACACUUAAUUGGAGAAAUAUUUCUAAGUAUUCACAGAAUAUGCAAAGAGGCUUGAGCAUCACUGAAUCCAUUAACUCAUCUUCAUACUGGGAACCCAAGAUAUUGAACACAGCAUGACAUUGUGUAAAGGUGUGUCAUUUCUCUGUGGUUAGUGUUAUGAGGAAAACGCCCUGAGAUUGUCUCUGCUUCCAGGGUGGAUAUUUGGUUCUUAUUUCUAUUGUUGUUUUGAUGCUGGGGUCAUUUAACUACAAGGGACCAUUAAAAUCAAUUCGUAAAUUAUAGGCAAAGCUAUUUGGAAGUAAAAU
rnacentral:lncRNA from 1 species